rnacentral:rRNA from 1 species
AUUGAACGCUGGCGGCAGGCCUAACACAUGCAAGUCGAGCGGGGUUUUCGGACCUAGCGGCGGACGGGUGAGUAAUGCGUAGGAAGCUACCCGAUAGAGGGGGAUACCAGUUGGAAACGACUGUUAAUACCGCAUAAUGUCUACGGACCAAAGUGUGGGACCUUCGGGCCACAUGCUAUCGGAUGCGCCUACGUGGGAUUAGCUAGUUGGUGGGGUAAUUGCUCACCAAGGCGACGAUCCCUAGCUGGUUUGAGAGGAUGAUCAGCCACACUGGAACUGAGACACGGUCCAGACUCCGACGGGAGGCAGCAGUGGGGAAUAUUGGACAAUGGGCGCAAGCCUGAUCCAGCCAUGCCGCGUGUGUGAAGAAGGCCUUCGGGUUGUAAAGCACUUUCAGCGAGGAGGAAGGGAGUUGCGUUAAUAGCACAGCUUCUUGACGUUACUCGCAGAAGAAGCACCGGCUAACUCUGUGCCAGCAGCCGCCGUAAAAC